AUUGAACGCUGGCGGCAGGCCUAACACAUGCAAGUCGAACGAGUGGCGGACGGGUGAGUAAUGUCUGGGAAACUGCCCGAGGGAGGGGGAUAACUACUGGAAACGGUAGCUAAUACCGCAUACCAUCGGAGGUGCCCCGAUGGGAUUAGCUAGUAGGUGGGGUAACGGCUCACCUAGGCGACGAUCCCUAGCUGGUCUGAGAGGAUGACCAGCCACACUGUAACUGAGACACGGUCCAGACUCCUACGGGAGGCAGCAGUGAGGAAUAGUGCACAAUGGGCGCAAGCCUGAUGCAGCCAUGCCGCGUGUAUGAAGAAGGCCUUCGGGUUGUAAAGUACUUUCAGCGGGGAGGCGUUACCAACAGAAUAAGCACCGGCUAACUUCGUGCCAGCAGCCGCGGUAAUAC
rnacentral:rRNA from 1 species